UUCUGAGCUUCUGGGAGUUAAGACCCCAACAUGUAAAUCUGGAGGGAUGCAAUUCAACACGUAAUAUUCCCUAACACAAUAUUUCCAUAACAGUCUGUAGCGUCUUCUUCAGGCUAAGGGAUUGGGGCCUCAUCUAUCAGAGUUGUAAUAAGGAACAAAGGUUGUUGAAGGUAUCCAAAGGGCAAUGUAACCCAAAAAUGUGAACAACUGGUAUAUAUGGAGCAUCAGGAAGAGUAGCUAAUGGAUGUGGAGCUUAAUACCAAGGCGAUGGGUUGAUUUGUGCAGCAAACCACCAUGGUUCACGUUUACCUGUGUACUCCAGCUAUCGUCAACAAACAUGCUUCAACAACAGGAUCCUCACUGUUUGGAAGACAGCCCCUGAGACCCAGAGCAAAUGGGUCAAAGUCUCAGUUACAUCAGUAUAACUACAAAGACAAUAAUUCUUACCUCUCUCACAGGAUCCAGUGAAAAAGUAGUGCUUCUGACUUUAUUGUGUGGAGCAGAUUGUGCUGGGGCAACAGUGAUGUAACCAGACAUCAGGAGGCUGCCAAAGGCCCCUCAUGUGAGAGGUCAUGGAGCCUCACAGGACUGGGUCAGAAGGGGCAGAGUCUGAAAGAAGUGGAUACCAAGUCAUCAGAGCUGGGGUGGGGAUCCAACCCAGGCUGACGAAGCAAGAGAGCCAACAAGGACUCCGUGGUCUCAGACCUGAAACCAGAAUAGCCAUGACAUUUGUGAUGAUAUGCAAGCUGGGAGAAAGACCAGGCUUGGUGGGGAGCGUGAGUGGCUUUCUGGCAGCAGAGUGACAUAAAAGAGUAUUUGAAAUCAGCAAGACUGAAGCUCUACAAAGACUGAUAUUUUAAACAUGGCCACUGUGACCUACUUAUAACCACGUGUCAACUUUAACACCGGAUUCCAAAAACAAGGCACAAUGUGAGAUGAAAUGAUAAUCAAAGUGGAUUACUGGAGGUUUGCUUGGAAUCCUGGUCUUCCAUGUGGACAUCGUUUUUUGGGGACAGCAUCUGGGGCUUCCUUCUGCUACCACAACCAUCCUCAAAGUAUAGUCUGGAGACCUCGGUAGGUGC
rnacentral:lncRNA from 1 species